rnacentral:rRNA from 1 species
CGCUGGCGGCACGCCUAACACAUGCAAGUCGAACGCAGUAGCAAUACUGAGUGGCAAACGGGUGAGUAUAAUGUGGGAAUCUGCCUUUUGGUUUGGAAUAACACGGGGAAACUUGUGCUAAUACCGGAUAAGCCCUUACGGGGAAAGUUUUAACGCCGAAAGAUGAGCCUGCACUUGAUUAGCUAGUUGGUAAGGUAAAAGCUUACCAAGGCAACGAUCAAUAGCUGUUCUUAGAGGAAGACCAGCCACAUUGGGACUGAGACACGGCCCAGACUCCUACGGGAGGCAGCAGUGGGGAAUCUUGCACAAUGGGGGAAACCCUGAUGCAGCGAUGCCGCGUGAGUGAAGAAGGCCUUUGGGUUGUAAAACUCUUUCGUCGGGGAAGAAAAUGACUGUACCCGAAUAAGAAGGUCCGGCUAACUUCGUGCCAGCAGCCGCGGUAAUACGAAGGGACCUAGCGUAGUUCGGAAUUACUGGGCUUAAAGAGCUCGUAGGUGGUUAAAAAAGUUGAUGGUGAAAUCCCAAGGCUCAACCUUGGAACUGCCAUCAAAACUUUUUAGCUAGAGUGUGAUAGAGGUAAGUGGAAUUUCUAGUGUAGAGGUGAAAUUCGUAGAUAUUAGAAAGAACACCAAAUGCGAAGGCAACUUACUGGGUCACUACUGACACUGAGGAGCGAAAGCAUGGGUAGCGAAGAGGAUUAGAUACCCUCGUAGUCCAUGCCGUAAACGAUGUGUGCUAGACGUUGGAAAUAUAUUUUUCAGUGUCGCAGCGAAAGCAUUAAGCACACCGCCUGGGG